UACGUAGGGGGCGAGCGUUGUCCGGAAUUACUGGGCGUAAAGAGCACGUAGGCGGCUUAUUAAGUCAGAUGUGAAAAACCUGGGCUCAACCGAGGGAAUGCAACUGAUACUGGUAAGCUUGAGUUAAGGAGAGGAGAGCGGAAUUCCUGGUGUAGCGGUGAAAUGCGUAGAGAUCAGGAGGAAUACCAGUGGCGAAGGCGGCUCUCUGGACUUGUACUGACGCUGAGGUGCGAAAGCGUGGGGAG
rnacentral:rRNA from 1 species